AUUCUGUGAUGGGAACACUUUCUCAAUAGUGACUUGAAUCAAUCCCAAGCUUCAUAUAAAACUUCAACGUCAAAUUGCUUGAAGUUGGCGAUCUCUUGACAGAGU
rnacentral:snoRNA from 1 species